CUAAGCCAUGCGAGUCGAACGAGUUUAGGCUCGUGGCGUACGGCUCAGUAACACGUGGAUAACCUACCCUUAGGACUGGGAUAACCCUGGGAAACUGGGGAUAAUACUAGAUAGGCAAUUUUUCCUGGAAUGGUUUUUUGUUUAAAUGUUUUUUCGCCUAAGGAUGGGUCUGCGGCCGAUUAGGUAGUUGGUUAGGUAACGGCUUACCAAGCCAUUGAUCGGUACGGGUUGUGAGAGCAAGAGCCCGGAGAUGGAACCUGAGACAAGGUUCCAGGCCCUACGGGGUGCAGCAGGCGCGAAACCUCCGCAAUGUGAGAAAUCGCGACGGGGGGAUCCCAAGUGCCAUUCUUAACGGGAUGGCUUUUCAUUAGUGUGAAGAGCUUUUGGAAUAAGGGCUGGGCAAGACCGGUGCCAGCCGCCGCGGUAA
rnacentral:rRNA from 1 species